rnacentral:rRNA from 1 species
GACGAACGCUGGCGGCGUGCUUAACACAUGCAAGUCGAACGGACAGGCCCUGCUCUUGUGGGGUGCUCGAUUGGCGAAGGGGUGAGUAACACGUGAGUAACCUGCCCUUGUCUUUGGGAUAACUUCACGGAACUCGGGCUAUUACCGGAUAGGAUCUCCUGCUGCAUGGUGGGCGUUGGUAAGAUUCGGCGGUUGUGGAUGGAUUCGCUGCUUAUCAGCUUGUUGGUGAGGUAGUUGCUUACCAAGGCUAUGACGGAUAGCCGGCCUGGGAGGGUUACCGGCCACAUGAGGACUACGAUAGGGCGCAGUAGCGAAUGGGAGGCAGCGGUGGAGAACAUUACGCAAUGGGGGGAAGCGUGAGGCAGCGACGCCGGGUGCGGGAAGACGGGCUUCGGGUUGUAAACAGCUGUCGCCUGUGACGAAGAGUGAGUGACGGUAAUGGGUAAAGAAGCACCGGCUAACUACGUG